GGACUACUGGGGUUUCUAAUCCUGUUUGCUCCCCACGCUUUCGCACAUGAGCGUCAGUACAUUCCCAAGGGGCUGCCUUCGCCUUCGGUAUUCCUCCACAUCUCUACGCAUUUCACCGCUACACGUGGAAUUCUACCCCUCCCUAAAGUACUCUAGCGACCCAGUAUGAAAUGCAAUUCCCAGGUUAAGCCCGGGGCUUUCACAUCUCACUUAAGUCACCGCCUGCGUGCCCUUCACGCCCAGUUAUUCCGAUUAACGCUCGCACCCCCCGUAUUACCGCGGCUGCUGGCACC
rnacentral:misc_RNA from 1 species